UUUGAAGUUGACCCUAAAAAUCUAUUUUGAGAGGCUGAAGUAAAACGAGUAUAACUCCUUAAUCAGAUGUUGGAUUUGGAUGAAACCAAUUGAAUUGGAAAGAAGACUCAGAGAUCUUUCUUUUGAUAUGUGGUAGCCCUCCCAGUUCAUUAUAUUGAGGGAGUUAUGAUCGUUCAAAGUUGACCCAAAAAACUGGCAGGCCUCAGUAGUUUUCCUGCACAUUUACUGUUCACAUCCCGGCCACCGUUUUAAAGUUUCGAACGAGCUCGCUUAUAUCCGAAACUUAUCCGUUUUUGGAAAUCUUUAUAUCGUUGGAAAGCUUAUUCAAUAACCUUCGUAUGGAACCAUCGACGGGAAAAUUCCGAUAUAAAU
rnacentral:lncRNA from 1 species